rnacentral:rRNA from 1 species
AAAUUGAAGAGUUUGAUCAUGGCUCAGAUUGAACGCUGGCGGCAGGCCUAACACAUGCAAGUCGAACGGUAACAGGAAUCAGCUUGCUGAUUUGCUGACGAGUGGCGGACGGGUGAGUAAUGUCUGGGAAACUGCCUGAUGGAGGGGGAUAACUACUGGAAACGGUAGCUAAUACCGCAUAAUGUCGCAAGACCAAAGAGGGGGACCUUCGGGCCUCUUGCCAUCGGAUGUGCCCAGAUGGGAUUAGCUAGUAGGUGGGGUAACGGCUCACCUAGGCGACGAUCCCUAGCUGGUCUGAGAGGAUGACCAG